UCAGUGGGGACAGGGACGCUUGAGACAAAGUUCAUUUCGGGUGCGUGUGCAUUCUGUCUCCAGCGUCUUCCGGAUGAAUGGAUUGGAGGAGAAAGAUGGCUGCAGAGCCCGUGUUUCUGAGGGACGACGUCGUUGCUGGUUUUCUCAGCUAUGACGAGUUGAUUCCACGCCUGGAGGAAAUUCUGGGGAAGUUCUCCAGGAGCGACAACACGGAUGUGGUGCAACCCGUGAGAUCCGUUAUUCCCUUACACCAGCACAACGGGUUUAUGGGACUGAUGCCUGCAUACAUUGCAUAUGAAGAUCUUCUGUGCACAAAGACGGUGGCUUUCUACAGGCGCAAUGAAAACUUGCAUUUACCCUCCACACAAGCAACUGUGUUCCUCUUUAACCCUGCAUGUGGCAAUGUCAUAGCGGUUAUGGACGGGGCAGAUAUCACCUUUAAAAGGACAGCGGCCGUCUCUGCAAUCUCUGCUAAACUGCUGAUGCCGGCUCAGGCUGAGAUCUUGUGCAUCCUCGGCUGUGGCCACCAGGCAGUCAGCCAUUAUGAAAUCUUCACAAAAAUCUUCUCCUUUAAAGAGGUACGUGUGUGCAGCCGGAGACUGGAGACAGCUGAAAGGUUUGCUGCACGUGUCCAGGGUCCUGUAAAAGUAUUUUCUUCUGCCAAAGAGGCAGUGCAUGGGGCGGACAUCAUCAUCACAGUCACUAAUUCUAGUCAACCAGUGCUGUUUGGGGAGUGGGUUAAACCCGGUGCUCACAUUGCAGCGGUUGGGGCUUGUCGGCCGGACUGGAGGGAACUCGACGACGCACUGAUGAGAGACGCCGUGAUUUACGUGGACAGCAGACACGGAGCUGCAGUGGAGGCGGGAGACAUCAUUCAGACUGGAGUAGAAGUGUUUGCUGAACUCGGAGAAGUUUUAGUUGGAACCCGACCUGCUUUGCGCAACAAGACGACAGUGUUCAAAUCUCUGGGAAUGGGGAUACAAGAUGCGGUCGCUGCUAAGCUCGUGUUUGACAAGUGGAAAAGCAGCCAGUGACGUAACGAAUCACCAUCUGCCACACAGAAAACAACUCGAGUUUCAAGAACAGAACACAAGACAUGAAGAUGGAAGAAAACAAUAAAAAAUGGGACCCGACUUAAAAAGUUUCACACCUUCUUGGGAGUGGACCUGAAAUCACUUCCUGUGAUCUACUCUUCAGUAAAUGGAUGUGAACGGCAAGAUCUUUCUCCACCUCCUAUUCAGGCUUAAUACAAUGCUGCGUCGGAAUAAAAACUGAAUCCUUCACGAUGAA